AUGGCCAUGGGAAAGUUUUCUGCUGCAGAUGCUGUUAUAAGAAGUCGUCCUCCGGGUGCAGGACUGGAUCCUGCCAUGGCAGAUGCUUGUACUGUGCCUCCUUCUCCUGCUGCGGCCUUGAAGCUCAUCAGUUGGAAUUGUCGAGGUAAGGGCAAGAGUCUCCGCGAAUCCAACAAAAUGGACUAUUUAGCUAGAUUGAUGUACUCCACCGGUGCGCAGGUAACUUUUGUUUCAGAGACUAGGUCCUCUAGGUGCAAUUCUGCUCAGCUAAAUACUCGUUUUAAUACUUCUGCUAGCUUUGUGGUUCCUUCGAUUGGUCUUUCCGGUGGACUGUGGUUGCUAUGGUCUGAUGAUGUUUCUCUCUCAGUCAAGUACUCCAAUAGCAAUCUCAUCUUAGCUUUAGAUGUGCAUUGUCCCACUAGUGUAGAGUUUGUACUUGUAUGUGUUUAUGGAGAUCCCCACCAUCGUCUUACUAAUAUGAUCUGGGAGUUUAUUUUCAAUUUUGUGUGUGAUAAUCUCGACAAACCAGUAGUUUGUUUAGGAGAUUUUAAUAAUAUUAUGUAUGAUACAGAAACUUCCUCUGUUAAUGUGUAUAAAAAUCGUAUGCGUGCUUUCAAUGGGUAUGUUAAGCAAUGUGGUUUGUUCGACUUGGGCUUUUCUGGCCCUGCUUAUACGUGGACAAAUAGACGUUUUUCUUCCAAACCUGUGUUUGAAAGGCUUGAUCGUUGCUUGGCAAAUGCUGAAUGGUGUGAUCUUUUUCCGAACACUAAUGUUUUUAACUUGCCUAUUAUUUUGAGUGACAAUGCUCCUAUAUUGGUCUCCACGGAAUAA
rnacentral:rRNA from 1 species